AUAUAUAUAUAUAUAUAAUUAGAUAGAUAUGGGGUAAUAAAGUGUAAAAUAUAGAUAAUUCACAAUAAUUUAAUAUCAGAUAUCAGUUAGAUUCAGCUUCGGACACAAGUUCCAGGUACUGAUCGAGAAGGAGUGGAUCAGCUUCGGACACAAGCUGGCCUCGGUGCGUAUGAGCAGUGAGGGCGUGGUUGUGUGUGGGCGCGUGAACGCAUGUAUAUUUAACCCCAUCUUUCUCUCUCUGUGUGUUUCUCAGCGUGUCGGCCUUGGAGAUGAGAAUCACGCCAACUCGGAACGAUCCCCUCUCUUUGUGCAGUUCAUCGACUGUGUGUGGCAGAUGAUGAGACAGGUGAAACCCAGGGCUCAAACCAAGAGAAGACAUUCAGAGCUAUUCAUUCUUUAAAGUCCAUUUAACGAGGUACACCUGGCCAGCAAGAAAAAAACAUCAGUCACUCGUUCCAGUAUUUUUGAACAGUUAAUGAAUAGGAUGGCUUCAAAAAAGCUGCCAUAUUUUAAGCUGUGUAACACGUCUAGAUGUAAAUAUGAGGAAAUGAAAGCUGAAAUUCUGAUCUAUCGUCUCAUAUUCGUCUUUUAUCUCAAACCCAAAUGUCUUCAGUAUACAGCAAAAGCAAGUGAAUUGGCCUUGAUGUUCCAAUACUUUUGAAGAGGACUCUAAUUUUUCCUUCUGCUUCUGAGUUCAAAGAGCUUUUUCUCAUCCCCAUCCUGGAUCGCCCCUACAGCUGCCUGUUUGGUACAUUCCUCUACAGCAGUGAGCAGGAGAGAAUGGAAAAGGAAGUACAGGGUAAAACGGUCACUGUGGUCCUACGUUAACAGUCAGCCGGAGGACUUCACUAACCCGUUCUAUGUGGACUGUAAAAACCAGGUGCUGUAUCCACUGGCCAGUCUCGCACAUCUGGAGCUCUGGGUGGGUUAUUAUGUGCGCUGGAACCCACGCAUGAGACCACAGAUGCCGCUCCAUCAGAAUUUGAGAGUUAUUGUUUUUGCGUGAAGAACGUGGAGGAGCUCCAGAGAGAGGCCACGUCAUCCUGCUCCAUCUCCUCAUCCUCAGAGCAUACUUCUCCCUCCUCACAUAGUGAUGACCAUCCUGACCUCUGAGGCUUCAUCACUCAUCACCAUGGUAACUGUCUUGUCCACCCCCAGUAAAAGGCUGCAUACUCAUACUGUGCUGUGAAAAAGCGUUUGCUUCCAUCUGCUUUUUAGCAAGUGCACACUUCCAUCCAUCCAUCCUACACAGGGUUGUGGGGAGCCUGGAGUCUAUCCCAGGGAACUCGGGGCACAAGGCAGGGGACACCCUGGACAUGGUGCCAACCCAUCACAGGGCACAAUCACUCGUGCACACACACACUGGACAAUUUUGGAGAUGCCAAUCCACCUACAACGGAUGUCUUUGGACUGGGGGAGGAAACCCCUGAAGCACAUUUGCAGGGACAUCAAGAAAAUUUAGUGAAACCCAGUCAGUGAUCUUAUUGGAUAAUUAGUCUCUAAUGAUUUGACCUUGUUUGUUACGCUGCUAAAUAUUUUCCAAAGGUAUGGAAGUGAUGUUAAGUCAGCAGACGUAUUGUGUGGGUUUGUGUUCUCUCUCCCUCCCCCUGUUUUUUUCUCACAGGUCGCUCUGACCUAAUUCGUUGUGCUGACGUGCUGCACGGGGAUUGGAGAGGAGAAGAUUGUCCCUCUUUUAAAAAGGAGGACGAACAAUAUGUUGGGAGGAAUGCGGAUGUGUGGGGUGUCUGUGUCUGCGUGUGUACGACUGAGUAGCGAAUGUUUUUCCUGGUGUUUGAGUGAAAUCGCUUGCUUGUUGUGUGUGUACGAGUGAAAGAAGUGAGUGGAAGUAUAUUGUGUUGUCCCAUUCCCCUGGUUUGUCUUGUGUUGUGGCUGAGUGUACGCCUGAAUUGUAAAUACAUCUUUCAUUGUAAAUAUUUCUCUUCUUACUGUCAUGAAAGCUGUAGGGGUUGUGUGGCGUUUAUUUUUGGGCUCUACCUUUUGUUCGCUGUUUUUGCCUCAGUGAGGGAGUCAGGUUAGACUCUAUUUUCUUUUGACAUACCUUUUUUGUUAGGUUAGUUAAACUGAUACAGGGAAGAUAUCGAUUGUUUUGUUUAUUACAUUGGCCUUGCCAGCCCUGAAGAGUGGUGCUUUCCGAGUGAUUGUUUGUUUUGCAUUAUUUUUCUUGUGAUCAUUAAAUUUGUAAGAUUUGAAAGACGUGAGGUAAUGAGAUAAUGAGGUGUCAACCUCAUUAUUUCUGAGUCUGAUUUGUUUUUGUUUAUACUUUUUUUAUGUUACACCUCGACCCUAGACUGGGGUCGUAACAGUGAGUCAAAAAUAACUUCCGUUUCCUUUUAUGGACUUUUGUGGGCAUUGCUACAUGGAAAUGAGCUGUGUCAGGAACACGGUUUGCACUUUAGAGGUGAACAACACGCGUACACAAGUACGAAGAACAUCGGCGUUUCCGAAACUUUUAUAAAUCCGGCAGAAACGUUUAGUUUGGUUUGACUUGGGCAAACAUUUACACACAACUUUACUAAAAGAAACUUGCUCAGAGAUGUUCAAUCGGGUUCAAGUCUGGGCUCUGGCUGGGCCACUCAAGGACAUUCACAGAGUUGUCCUGUAGAUAGAUAGAUAGACAGAUAAUUUUAUUGGUCCUCAAAAAGAGGAAAUUUGUUUCCACAGUGGGUGCGUACAAAAACAUAACGUCAUACGUAUAGACCAACAUAAACAAUCACAGCCAUAGAGAGGAAAAGGGGACGAGGAGAAAAACAUCAGGAUCAUCAUACAACAAUGCAUCUGACAUCACAAUGGCUGUGUACCUAUGUGUUUAAUGCUCGUAUAGCCAUAUUAACAAAACUCCUACCAUAGCCAGCCUUUCUGCACACGGGUAGUCUAUACCUGCGGCCAGAUGGAAGGAGAUUGAAAUAUUGAUAAAGUGGGUGG